UACGUAGGCAGCGAGCGUUGUUCGGAAUUACUGGGCGUAAAGGGCGCGCAGGCGGCCGAUCAAGUCAGAUGUGAAAGCCCCGGGCUCAACCUGGGAAUAGCAUUUGGGACUGGUCGGCUAGAAUUCGGGAGAGGAGAGUGGAAUUCCCAGUGUAGAGGUGAAAUUCGUAGAUAUUGGGAAGAACACCGGUGGCGAAGGCGGCUCUCUGGACCGACACUGACGCUGAGGCGCGAAAGCGUGGGGAGCAAACAGG
rnacentral:rRNA from 1 species